rnacentral:rRNA from 1 species
GAUGAACGCUGGCGGCGUGCCUAACACAUGCAAGUCGAGCGAUCUUCUUCGGAAGAGAGCGGCGGACGGGUGAGUAACGCGUGGGUAACCUGCCCUGUACACACGGAUAACAUACCGAAAGGUAUGCUAAUACGAGAUAAUAUGCUUUAUCGCAUGGUAGAAGUAUCAAAGCUUUUGCGGUACAGGAUGGACCCGCGUCUGAUUAGCUGGUUGGUAAGGUAACGGCUUACCAAGGCGACGAUCAGUAGCCGACCUGAGAGGGUGAUCGGCCACAUUGGAACUGAGACACGGUCCAAACUCCUACGGGAGGCAGCAGUGGGGAAUAUUGCACAAUGGGCGAAAGCCCGAUGCAGCAACGCCGCGUGAGCGAUGAAGGCCUUCGGGUCGUAAAGACUCUGUCCUCAAGAAGAUAAUGACGGUACUUGAGGAGGAAGCCCGGCGUAACUACGU